GGAGGAGGCUGAGAGGAGACCUCAUUGCCCUUUACAUCUAACCGAAAGGAGGUUGCAGAGAGCUGGGGAUGAGUCUCUUUAACCAAAUAGUAAGUGAUAGGACAAGAGGGAAUGGCCUCAAGUUGCACCAGGGAAGGU